rnacentral:rRNA from 1 species
UACGUAGGGGGCUAGCGUUGUCCGGAUUUAUUGGGCGUAAAGAGCGUGUAGGCGGCCUGGUAGGUCUGCUGUGAAAACUCGAGGCUCAACCUCGAGACGUCGGCGGAAACCAUCUGGCUAGAGUCCGGAAGAGGAGAGUGGAAUUCCUGGUGUAGCGGUGAAAUGCGCAGAUAUCAGGAAGAACACCAGUGGCGAAGGCGGCUCUCUGGGACGGUACUGACGCUGAGACGCGAAAGCGUGGGGAGCGAACAGG